AAGCAUUUAAAUAAGAGACAGAGAUGGUCACUUUGGACCUACAAAUUCUUCCUUCCCCUACACCAGCAGUCAGCUUGCCUUCCUUGCUCCAGUGCAUCAAGUGGACUCUCAAAUCAAGAAUCUAGCAGCUCCGAAGACUGCAGUCCAUCCUCCCAAAUAAAAAAAACAUGGCCAGAGACAUUUCAGAUUCCUUGGACUGCAAUGCCUAUGGACAUUCGUUCAGCAGUGGCUGAUGGCAAGAGACCUUCACCAGCAGCACGGCGACAAAUGGUCAGAGUUUUGGCAGAUGAGAUGAGGAAAUAUGAGCUAAACCCAACACGCGGACAAUGUGUCACAGUCUGCCGAAACAUCAUCCGCCAGUAUCCUCAAAGUUUUGCUGAUCUCCGUGACAAUGGUCAGGUACUAGGAAAUGGUUAUACCUCACUG